ACAUCUCCCAUGGCACACAAUUGUAGACCUGAAACGCACGGUAUUCCAAAUCGACGAUCUCCGUUAAAUUCAUUUCCUCUAGUGGCAUGACGUAGGUGGGGGAGGAAGAUAGGGAUCGACUAUGGAACGAGCUGAAGAUGCAACCUUAUAACGGUACCGGCUGAUAGAUAGCUGAACUCUUUGUUCACAUCAAAAAAAGUGGAGGACCCGAUGAGACAGACAAAAACACAGACAUGCAGUUCAAAUACAGAAGGCACUGAUUUAUUUUUAUAGGAUAUUUUUCUGUGCUCCUUCAAGGGCUGGGUCCGUUAUCGCUGUUGUUGGCGGAACCGGCUGGCCAAGAUGUCUGUGGAAGAACAGGAAUAUCCCGAGGCGACUCUGGUGGCAGAGGCCGGGCCGCAGUGGUUUCGGGCGGAAUUAGAGCGCCUAUCCCGGGAGCUGAGCGAGACGACUCAUGAGAAGAUCCAGGCGGCGGAAUACGGGCUGGCGGUGCUCGAAGAGAAGCAACAGCUCAAACAGCGUUAUGACGAGUUGGAGACCGAGUUCGAGACUGUUCGGCAUGAACUCGACCAACUGAAGGAGGCAUUCGGCCAGGCCUACUCCACCCAUAGGAAGGUGGCUGCAGAUGGGGAGAGCAGGGAGGAGUCACUAAUGCUGGAGUCAGCCAGUAAGGAGGCCCAAUACCAGCAGAUGGUCCUGGAGCUGCAGAACGAGCUGCGGUUGGCCAGGACUGCCCUCACCAGCAACCAAUCAGAGAAUGAGCGCCUGGCCUCUGUUGCCCUGGAGAUGAGAGAGAGUUCUGAGCUGGUGGAGCUGCAGCGCAGCCAACUGCGUGAUGACAUCAGAGAGUAUAAGGUGCGAGAGGCACGCCUGCUGCAGGACUAUAGUGAGCUGGAGGACGAGAACAUCUCCCUACAGAAACAGGUGUCCCUGCUCCGACAGAGCCAGGUGGAGUUUGAGGGUCUGAAGCAUGAGAUCUGUCGUCUGGAAGAGGACUCCCAGUGCCUCCACAGCCAGUUGGAGGAGGCCAUGCGCCUGCGGGAGAUCGCCGAGCACCAGCUGACCGAGGCUCUGGAGACCAUUAAGACUGAGCGCGAGCAGAAGGCCGCCCUGCGUAAAGAACUGUCCCACUACAUGACCAUUGGGGACAACCUGUUACCGUACCACCACAGCCCCCUGAACAUCUCCCUGGACGGCUUCAAGUUCAGAGAGGAUCCCACUGCUGCCACGAACGAACCCAACAAUGAUGACUCGUUCCAUGGCUAUGAGAACGGCCUGGCUAAGAUGGCUGCAGACUGCAACGAGGAUAACAGAGCCAAGCUCCGGCCCGCCCCCAGCCUAGUGGAUGACCUGCUGAGUGAACUCAACAUCUCAGAGAUCCAGAAACUCAAGCAGCAGCUCAUGCAGGUUGAGCGGGAGAAGGUAGCACUACUUUCCUCCCUGCAGGAGGCCCAGAAGCAGCUAGAGGUGGCCCACGGGACUCUGUCUGAGCAGCAGGAGAUAGUAGGACGUCUCACCGAGAACCUCAGCGCCAUGAGGAAACUCCAGGCCAGCAAGGAGCGCCACUCGGCCAUGGACAGCGAGAAGGAGCGUGACAGCCGUGACGACGGUGACGGGGACUACUACGAGCUGGACAUCAACGGGCCUGAGAUCCUGCAGUGUAAGUACACAGUGGCUGUGUCCGAGGCCGGGGAACUCAGACAGGAGCUUAAGACUCUUAAAGCAGAGUACCAGUCAUGCCGGAGCCAGUACGAGGAGGAGCGAGCCCACCUGGAGAGCAACGUGGCAGGGCUGAGCGAGAAGCUAGCUUCCCUGGAGAAGAGCAGCCGGGUGGAGCAUGAGGAGAUGGAGCGCCUGGAGAAGGACCUGCGGCGGGUGAGCGAGUCGGCAGGGGAGUCGCAGGGAAGUCUGAAUGUGGCGCAGGACGAACUGGUGGUGUUCAGUGAGGAGCUGGCCAACCUCUACAACCACGUGUGCAUGUGCAACAACGAGACGCCCAACCGCGUCAUGCUUGACUACUACAAGGAGGGCAAGGCCAGCGUAGGUGGCGGGGGCGGCCGGGAGGGGAAAGGACGACGUCUGUCCCACGUUCUGCUCUCCAACGGGCUGGUCCCUGAUACUGACCCCAGUAAACCUGAAGCCAAUGACCCAGCCGCCCCAGCCCCAGAAUCCCGCCCAGAGCCUAUGAACAUCUAUAACCUGGUGGCCAUCAUCAGGGACCAGAUCCGUCACCUGCAGCAGGCGGUGGACCGCACCACAGAGCUGUCCCGCCAGAGGAUGGCCACCAUGGAGCUGAGCACCGUGGCUGAUAACGACAGCGAGGCCUGCAUGGGGGAGAUCCUCAAACUCAAGUCCCUCCUCAGCACCAAGAGGGAGCAGAUCGCCACCCUGAGGACCGUGCUCAAAGCCAACAAACAUACGGCUGAGGUGGCGCUGGCCAACCUGAAGAGUAAAUACGACAACGAGAAGACCAUGGUGAGGGAUACCAUGUUGAAGCUCCGCAACGAGCUGAAGGCUCUGAAAGAAGACGCUGCCACCUUCUCCUCACUACGGGCCAUGUUCGCAACAAGGUGUGAUGAGUACGUAACUCAGCUGGACGAGAUGCAGAGACAGCUGGUUGCAGCGGAGGACGAGAAGAAGACCCUGAACUCCCUGCUCCGCAUGGCCAUCCAGCAGAAGCUUGCCCUGACCCAGCGUCUGGAGGACCUGGAGUUUGAUCAUGAGCAGGCGCGCCGUGGUGGGGUUACAGGAACAACGACGAGCAGUCGGGGCAAGACCUCGUCGGCGCGGGGCAAAGGGGCCUCGGCCAAUCAUCACUAAUUUAAUCAAGCCGUGUCCUUCAAAGGUUGACAGUCAGCUUGCCGAUGAUUACUUCAGUGUCCCCUCCUGGCCUGAGACAAAUGUCAGAGACACGUACUGCUGUAGUGUGAGGACUUUGUUUCUGCGCGCACACACACACACACACACUCUCUUGACCUUUACAGACGUGUAAAAUCCCCAGUGGUUUGGUGUCUUGGUGUGGCUGCAGGAAACAACAAAGACUCAUGGGUAUGAUGACCAUAGAGAUAUCUAGGUCUAUUUCUGUGGGAAUGACCAUAGAGAUAUCUAGGUCUAUUUCUGUGGGCAUGACCAUAGAGAUAUCUAGGUCUAUUUCUGUGGGCAUGACCAUAGAGAUAUCUAGGUUUAUUUCUGUGGGAAUGACCAUAGAGAUAUCUAGGUUUAUUUCUGUGGGAAUGACCAUAGAGAUAUCUAGGUUUAUUUCUGUGGGAAUGACCAUAGAGAUAUCUAGGUUUAUGUCUAUGGGAAUGACCAUAGAGAUAUCUAGGUCUAUUUCUGUGGGAAUGGCCAUAGAGAUAUCUAGGUUUAUUUCUAUGGGAAUGACCAUAGAGAUAUCUAGGUUUAUUUUUGUGGGAAUGACCAUAGAGAUAUCUAGGUCUAUUUCUGUGGGUAUGACCAACAGUUUGACCCCCCAUUGUGAUCCAGUCACUCAUCCCACAUUGUCCACCACUAUACUGGUAUUACUCUGUCUGUGUUUCCCCUGAUGACUGCACACUUUUCAUGUCUUUUUAUUUAUCUUUUUUUGCUUGUAAUUCACACCUCAGUGAAUUUGUGUGGUGUUCAUACGCUUUUAAGAAUUGUUACAUGUUUGGUCAUUGGAGCAUUAAUUAGUCAUUUAAAUAUUUGAGCUUUUGUCAUUAUAUAACUGUCAGAUUGAUAACAACAUUUCCAUGGAGAGCAAACCAGCAAAGUCAUAGGAACUAACUUGCUCCAGUUUUCUCUGGGGUCAAUAUUCAAUAGGACUCACAAGCUAACAGACAUUCUCUACAAGCACAUAGAUGAACAUCUUAAAUUGGAAUUUGUUUUUUCUCUCUUUUUAAAAAAUCUUGUCACAUAUUGAUAAUGUGCUUAAAAAAAGUUAACCAGUGAGAGCAGGAUGUUCCAGCAGGACAUUCAGCCAGUGUGUGCCCAGUGGGUACUUUCUGGCCUUAGUUUAGACCAGUAGUUUGUUCUGUCCACAAAAGAGAAGCUACAUUUAGAUUUGAAUGUUUUCUAUGUCUUUGAGAAUUGUGGUGAGAGGUUAUGACCCCAGUCAAUAACAGAUUGAGGAAAAUAAUAGGAACUGUGGUGAAUUGUGUGAAGUGAUUCUGCCAUCCUGCAAGCAUGCAGAGUUGCAAAUUUAGGGGCUAUUAUUAUGAUUAUUAUUAAUCGAUAAACCUUAUUUUAAGAGUAAUGAUACCACAGCUGUUAACUUUGGCUGCCUAGUUAAUAGUGGUUCAGAGCAUUUUCGGUGAUGGCUGAGGGAGAGAUUACUAAUGCAAAUACUUAUUUAUACUCUACCUUUGUAUGGCAAAGUUCAGGCGACUAUGGUGGAGACUUUUUGUAUCGUCUGUUUUAAUGCAAUUUUAUGAGCCCUUUUUACAUCCUCUAAAAGUGUUGUUGUGAUUUCAACAAACAGACUAAGUUAAGUCAUGAACACAUCUGCAGUGCCAUUUAAUUUAUUGUUGAUGCAAUAAAAGUUACAUUUGGGAUUCUCUUUUUUUACAAGUGCAAUUUGAACGCAAUCGAUAUAGAAACACAGUAUAAACAUUCUCUGUCUGUUUGUCUGCUGAUGCUAUUGUUACAUUUUACUACUACUUCUUACUCACAAUCUUGAUCCUAAUUGAGUUGUAUAUCUUUGUACUAAAUAACUUCACUUGUUUGUAUUUAUUUUUUAACAAUGUCAUGUAUGUUGGCAUUGUCGAUAAUGUGGAUUAUGAUUAUUGCCAUAUUGAUACCAUAUCGAUGCCUUUUUUCAUGUCGUCUUCAAGAGACUCUGGAUGGAGAUGGUAGGUGAGAUGUGUGCUCAAUAGAAGUCAACAGCCUACCUGUAUGAUGAUGAUGUUGCACUGGCAAGGUGCAUGUUUCAUAGUUACCUUUAUUCUGCCUAAAGGUAUGCCAAAUAAACCUCACUUUAGUCUUUAUUCUGCCUAAAGGUAUGCCAAAUAAACUUCACUUUAGACUUAA